rnacentral:rRNA from 1 species
AAGUCCCGUAACGAGCGCAACCCUCGCCCUUAGUUGCCAUCAUUUAGUUGGGCACUCUAAGGGGACUGCCGGUGAUAAGCCGGAGGAAGGUGGGGAUGACGUCAAGUCCUCAUGGCCCUUACGGGCUGGGCUACACACGUGCUACAAUGGCGGUGACAGAGGGAUGCAAAGGGGCAACCCUUCGCAAAUCUCAAAAAUCCGUCUCAGUUCGGAUUGGGGUCUGCAACUCGACCCCAUGAAGUUGGAAUCGCUAGUAAUGGCGCAUCAGCUACGGCGCCGUGAAUACGUUCCCAGGCCUUGUACACACCGCCCGU